rnacentral:rRNA from 1 species
GACAGAGGGUGCAAACGUUGUUCGGAAUUACUGGGCGUAAAGCGCGUGUAGGCGGCCCUGCAAGUCGGAUGUGAAAUCCCACGGCUCAACCGUGGAAGUGCAUUCGAAACUGCAGGGCUAGAGUCCUGGAGAGGAAGGUGGAAUGCUUGGUGUAGAGGUGAAAUUCGUAGAUAUCAAGCAGAACACCUGCGGCGAAGGCGGCCUUCUGGACCGAGAUUGACGCUGAGGCGCGAAAGCCAGGGGAGCAAACGGG